AUGGGCAACCAACAUUCCAUAAAAGGUGCUGAAUUCGAAAUCCCAGCAUCAUGUAAACACAUGGAAGACAAAUAUCCAGGUUCAUGCUCAUAUGUUCAGCUGUGGAUGACUAAGUUCGAUUGGGAUGGUAACUUAGACAGGCCAGGCAAUAUUAUAAAAUUAAAAGAAGAUUUAAUAGAAUAUGGAAAGAAACAUCCAAAAGUAAAUGUGGGGUUGACACAAUGUCACCUCUGGUUCACUGAAUCAAAAUAUAGAAGAGAAAAACAAAAUCAAGAAAAAGAGAAACGAAAAAGAGGGAAAGAAGAGAAAAAUGAGAACUUCAUAUACCCAUCGCUGAGUGCGUACGUGAGGGCGGAGGACAACGAAACAGGAUGUAGGAGUCAAUUGAUAAAUGUGCCUCCUCCGUAUGUUCCUCCACCUCCUGUUCCACUAGCUCCCCCUCAGGCGGUCCCAUGGGACCCGCCCAGAGCUAUAGCCCCCCUUGCUUCAAACACUAAUCCUUUUUUGGGCCCCUCUUUAUCGGGAGCCCAGUACAGAAAUUACCACAUGCAGGACAACACUGUGCAGAUGUACCCAUUGAUCCAGGUUGCAAAUCCACAAGCCGGUGUGCAGGGUCAAGAUCCUACUAUCUUGGUGUAUAGAACCUGGACUCCAGAAGACUGUAAAAAAGCUUGUGAUGACAUAACCUUGCCCCAAAUGGACGUAGAGUUGUGCAUCCAAGACAUAAGACAGUUACUAAGAAGUUAUCAUACUAAUGGUACUGAAACCCAGCAAGUCCUCAUGUGCGUUAAUGGCAAGAAAUGGGGCACUGUUAGAGGAGAUUGGGUCCCAGUGGAUCCAGCCACUCAACAACCAUGGCAGCCUGACAGCCAAGAACUAAAUGACAGACUUGACAGACUGUACGAGCGCAUGCGAACUACUUUUACCAGACGAGCUGACUACAGCGCCAUUACGGCCACAAGACAAAAGACUGACGAAAGUUUUGAAGACUAUAGCAUGAGAAUGAAAGAUGUGUUCCGGAAAAAUAGUGGAAUUCCGUAUGCGGAAGAUCCAGAAGGUCCCUACCAACAGCAGUUAAAGCAAGCUAUACAUGGGGGAUCAAAAUCAGAGAUAAAAACCUGGGUAGAGAGACAGUUAGUUGAUUUCGGAAUUUGUAACCUAGGCCGCUAUGAACAACAUGCUAUGCAUGCUGAAAGACAAUGCCAAAAGAGUAAGAACCAAUUAACAGGCAUGUUUUUCAAUGCCAAUCCUUUCCAAAGCCGAGGCCGAGGGCGUGGGCGAGGCCGAGGCGGAAGGGGAGGAGGAGGCAAUUCCCGUGAAAAUGAUCAGUGUCAUUAUUGUAAAAAUUAUGGACACUGGGAACGUGAUUGCAGAAAGAAACAACGUGACCAGAGAUACAAUAGAGGACAGCAGCAAGGUUCUAAUCCACCUCAGCUAUGA
rnacentral:lncRNA from 1 species